rnacentral:rRNA from 1 species
GUGGGGAAUCUUGCGCAAUGGGCGAAAGCCUGACGCAGCCAUGCCGCGUGAAUGAUGAAGGUCUUAGGAUUGUAAAAUUCUUUCACCGGGGACGAUAAUGACGGUACCCGGAGAAGAAGCCCCGGCUAACUUCGUGCCAGCAGCCGCGGUAAUACGAAGGGGGCUAGCGUUGCUCGGAAUUACUGGGCGUAAAGGGCGCGUAGGCGGACAGUUUAGUCAGAGGUGAAAGCCCAGGGCUCGACCUUGGAAUUGCCUUUGAUACUGGCUGUCUUGAGUACGGGAGAGGUGAGUGGAACUCCGAGUGUAGAGGUGAAAUUCGUAGAUAUUCGGAAGAACACCAGUGGCGAAGGCGACUCACUGGCCCAAUACUGACGCUGAGGCGCGAAAGCGUGGGGAGCAAACAGGAUUAGAUACCCCGGUAGUCC